UAGGGAAUAUUGGGCAAUGGAGGGAACUCUGACCCAGCCAUGCCGCGUGCAGGAUGAAGGCGUUAUGCGUUGUAAACUGCUUUUAUAUAGGAAGAAAUAGUCCUUGCGAGGAAAGUUGACGGUACUAUAUGAAUAAGCACCGGCUAACUCCGUGCCAGCAGCCGCGGUAAUACGGAGGGUGCAAGCGUUGUCCGGAUUUAUUGGGUUUAAAGGGUGCGUAGGCGGUUUAUUAAGUCAGUGGUGAAAGACGGUCGCUCAACGAUUGCAGUGCCAUUGAUAUUGGUAGACUUGAGUAUGAUUGAGGUAGCUGGAAUGGAUAGUGUAGCGGUGAAAUGCAUAGAUAUUAUCCAGAACACCAAUUGCGUAGGCAAGUUACUAAGUCAUAACUGACGCUGAGGCACGAAAGUGUGGGUAUCAAACAGGAUUAGAUACCCAGGUAGUCCCUGAGCGGGCUGGCAAGGCGCAU
rnacentral:rRNA from 1 species